UACGGGGGGGGCAAGCGUUGUUCGGAAUUACUGGGCGUAAAGGGUUCGUAGGUGGCCGACUAAGUCAGACGUGAAAUCCCUCAGCUUAACUGGGGAACUGCGUCUGAUACUGGUUGGCUUGAGUGCAGGAGAGGAACGCGGAAUUCCUGGUGUAGCGGUGAAAUGCGCAGAUAUCAGGAGGAACACCGGUGGCGAAGGCGGUUCUCUGGGCAUUACCUGACGCUGAGGAGCGAAAGUGUGGGGAGCGAACAGG
rnacentral:rRNA from 1 species